CCGCUCAAGGAUGACGAGCUCAUCUCCUACAUCCUCGCUGGUCUUGGCCCGGAGUACGACUCCUUCGUCACGUCGAUGGCGCACCAGGCCGGCUACUUGACACUCGACGAUCUGUACGCUCAUCUCAUGUCGUUUGAGC